CCUGCCGGGCCCCGCCGGCACACGGAGCCCCCCGGCACCGAGAGCCGACAACGCGGCUUUGCACGGCCUGACACGCAGCUCCGUGCAGCCGGUCAGCCCUAUGCACACACUGAACGUGGUUGUGCCACAUCUCUGCUUGCUGGAUUGCCCGAGGGUCCCGAUGUCACCUCCAGAGCUGCUCAUGUCGUGGAUGGAAGUUAAUGCCCACUUUUGCAUGGCAGGAAUGGAUGGCUGACCUCCACCUGCUGGUGGCAGGGUGCAGCAGCACAGCAGCAGUGUUAGUGCUGUCCUGGCUGCAGCGCCACACUUGGUUCAGCCUCUGCAAUAUUUAGGGCCCUGCCCAGGGCCAAGCAGCUUCUGGCUGGCCUGCAGCCGACCUGUGGGAUGCAGCCAGAAGGCCACAGUGCAUGGGAUGCCCUUAGGGAAAACCAACAGGAUCAGUUCUCAGAGCAAAACACAACCUGCAUUUACCUCUUUCCCCCCACAACAGACUGUAAAUAAAGGCAGUGAUCAAACAAGGCAGGACUUCGGGGGGCUGGCACAUCACCCUGGGGGGAGCUGCUCCCACAACAGGCUGCACAGCUCAGCAUGCAGUCUUCCCCAGGCUGAGCAGCUCCAGGUCCCUCACAAGGAGAUGCUCCAUUCAGCUCUGUUAUCAGGAUGCCAUGGGAGUCAACACCAAAAGCCUUGCUGAUGUUGAGGCAUGCGACAUCCACUGCUCCCCCUGCACCUACCCAGCCAUCAUUGCAGGCUAUGAGCAGCCCGCACCCAGCGCCCAUCUGCGACUGCAGGACGGUGCCUUUCAGCAGCAGCUUGAAUUGGAGCCUGAGUGCAUGCAGUGGAACCUCAGCUCUGUGCCCAUCGCUGCAUCCCUCUCCGUGCUGCACGAUGGGGCUGCACACGAGCGUGCAAAGUGCUGGGUGUGUGGAAAUGGCUGGAAAAGCGCUCCCUGCUCCUGCUUCAAUCAGAGGAACGGAGCAGCUGUUGGAGUGAAUGGGCCCUGCACUAAAGCAGACGUCUUAAUAUCUUUUGCAGAGGAGGUGCAUUGUGAUUCACUCUGUGCAUCUCUAUUACUCAGCGUUUGAUAGGGGCUUACUUGUCUCAAGUGCUUUUCAUUAUUGCCCUAAUGCUAUCUAUUAACAUAUGGGAUGGAGGCUCUUUUCUCAUCUGGAGCGUGCAUCACUCAGCUUUUAAGGAUGAUGGGGCUCGCGAGUACAUAACACUUUGCUGCCUCCAUGACGGAGCUCACCAGGAGGAGGGAGGGGUUGAGUUCUGCCUUGCAUUUUGUUGAGCUAAGGCAAGAAACAGGACCUGCAUGUCCCAGCAGCCAGGUUGGGACAUGGGACUUAGAGCACCUGGAAACCCCAACGUGGCACAGUCAUGCAGCAGCCGCCUCCGAGCAGCUUGAUGGAUGGCGGGCCGGUCCCACCCGCAGCCAGAUGACAGCUCCUCGCAUCAGCCACUGUGAUAAAUAGCAAUUACCAACCGGAGCUCUGCCACUCACAUUUGCCUAAGUGAGGAGCAGAAUCAUACAUCUCUGCUGAUUACAUAUCAAUGAUGCGCUGGAGGCCUUCACAACUUUUAGAUCCGCUUAAGAUAUGCCGCCCUGAUUUAGAUGGCGAUUUGCAUACAAUUUACCCAUAAAGCCUUACUUUGAAAAGCAUAAUUACUUUCCUUUUUUUUUUUUUUUUUUCUUCUUCUUUUUAAUAUUCUUCCUUCUGAUUUGAAUGUUAGCAAGGCCAUACCAUGAAUUACCGCUCUAAUGAAGACAAACACGCGCGGGGUGUGCAAUGGGAGCACUGCUCCGUAACCUCCCUGCACGCAACGUUGUUUGUGGUGGUGGUUUGGUGCCAACACUGUUCUUCCCAUGGAUGCUCGUGCUAUAGGGCUGGAAGAGCUGUGGGGUGCAGGUUUGGGGCUGUGGGGUGAAGCUGUGCCCAGAACUGUGGGGAUGUGGUACUGAUGGCACAGCAGGGUGGGCUGGGGUUGGAUCUGAGAGGUUUCACGGUGACUCGAUGAUCCUGUUUUGUUCAAUAUCUUCAUCAUUGACCUUGAUCAGGGGGUUGCAUCCAUCCUCUUCAUGUUUGCUAAUGAUAUGAAGUUGGGAGGAAUGGCUGACACUGGAAGGCUGUGAUGCUAUUCAGAGAGACUUGGAUAGGCUGGAGAGUUGGGCAGAGAGGAACCAGAUGAGGUUUAACAAGAGCAAGAGUCUUGCACCUGGGAAGGAAUAACCACAAGUAUCAG